CUUGUGCUGCUGCCCCACCUGUCCUGAGUCUGGAGCCCUGACUUUGAGGAGAGAAGGCGGCAUAGCAAGAUUGGGAGACAAGGCCUGGGACCAAGGAGUCACCUCCAAGCAGAGCAUUCUUUAGAACAUCCAUCCCUAGGGGGACUCAUGAUGGAUUGUCCCUGCAUAUCCAACCUGAGUGACUCUGAGGGAUGUAAUGCCAAGUCACAGAAGAUGUAGAGCAAUGGGGAAGCUCACCCAGAGGCCCUGAAGGCAACACAUGGGACAGAAGUGGCAAUCCAGGGCCAACUGUUCCCAUCACAGAAAGCAUCUCUAGGGGGCAGCUAGGUGGUACAGUGGAUAGAGCACCGGCCCCAAAUUCAGGAGGACCUGAGUUCAAAUCCAGCCUCAGACAUAUAAUGCUUACAAGCUGUGUGACCCUGGGCAAGUCACUUACCCCCAAUGCCUAGCCUCCCCCAAUAAAAAAGUAUCUCAGAAGCUCAGAUUCAAAUAAAUGUAAUACAGUCGAUUCCAAGAAGAUACUUUUGUUACUUACAAGCAUGAUGAAUGUGAUAAAGGCUUCAGUCACAGUUCAAUCAUUUCUGUCCACCAGACAAUUACUACUGGAAAAAACAACAUAAAUAUGUGGAAUGUGGAAAGGCUGCCAACUGCAGUUCAUCCCUUACCUGCCACCACAGGAUUCACACUGGAAAGAAAUCUUACCCAUGUAGUGACUGUGGGAAGGGCUUUCACCUGUGGGCAGGACUUAUUGAAUAUCCGAGUGUCCAUCCUGGACAGAAACCAUAUAAAGCUCAUGAAUGUGGGAAGGCCGUCAAUUGGAUCUCAUCCCUUACUUGUUGUCACAGGAUUUGUACUGGCAAGAAACCUUAUGAAUGUAAUUAAUGUGGGAAAACCUUCUGCCUGAGGGCUGAACUUACUAGACAUCAGAUAAUUCAUAGUGAAUAAAAACAUUUUGAAUGUAA